UACGAAGGGAGCUAGCGUUGUUCGGAAUUACUGGGCGUAAAGGGCGCGUAGGCGGCUUGGCAAGUUGGAUGUGAAAGCCCAGGGCUCAACCCUGGAAUUGCAUUCAAGACUGUCUUGCUUGAAUUCGGUAGAGGUUGGUGGAAUUCCCAGUGUAGAGGUGAAAUUCGUAGAGAUUGGGAAGAACACCCGUGGCGAAGGCGGCUCACUGGCCCGAUACUGACGCUGAUGCACGAAAGCGUGGGGAGCAAACAGG
rnacentral:rRNA from 1 species